rnacentral:rRNA from 1 species
UUGGAGGGCAAGUCUGGUGCCAGCAGCCGCGGUAAUUCCAGCUCCAAUAGCGUAUAUUAAAGUUGCUGCAGUUAAAAAGCUCGUAGUUGAAUUUCGGGACCAUCAUGUCGGUCGUGCCCCGGUACGUACUGGUAUUGUUGGUUUCUCCCUUCUGACGAACCAUGAUGUCAUUUAUUUGGUGUUGUGGGAAAUCAGGACUGUUACUUUGAAAAAAUUAGAGUGUUUAAAGCAGGCUCACGCUUGAAUACAUUAGCAUGGAAUAAUGAAAUAGGACGUUUGAUUCUAUUUUGUUGGUUUCUAGGAUCGACGUAAUGAUUAAUAGGGAUAGUUGGGGGCAUUAGUAUUCAAUUGUCAGAGGUGAAAUUCUUGGAUUUAUUGAUGACUAACUACUGCGAAAGCAUUUGCCAAGGAUGUUUUCAUUAAUCAAGAACGAAAGUUAGGGGAUCGAAGACGAUCAGAUACCGUCGUAGUCUUAACCAUAAACUAUGCCGACUAGGGAUCGGAUGAUGUUAAUUUUUUAAUGACUCAUUCGGCGCCUUACGGGAAACCAAAGUGUUUGGGUUC